UACGUAGGGGGCAAGCGUUGUCCGGAAUCAUUGGGCGUAAAGAGCGUGUAGGCGGCCCGGUAAGUCCGCUGUGAAAGUCCAGGGCUCAACCCUGGAAUGCCGGUGGAUACUGUCGGGCUCGAGUCCGGAAGAGGCGAGUGGAAUUCCUGGUGUAGCGGUGAAAUGCGUAGAUAUCGAGAGGAACACCUGCGGCGAAGGCGGGUUGCUGGGCUGACACUGACGCUGAGGCGCGAAAGCUAGGGGAGCGAACGGG
rnacentral:rRNA from 1 species